GAUGAACGCUGGCGGCGUGCCUAAUACAUGCAAGUCGAGCGAACAGACGAGGAGCUUGCUCCUCUGACGUUAGCGGCGGACGGGUGAGUAACACGUGGAUAACCUACCUAUAAGACUGGGAUAACUUCGGGAAACCGGAGCUAAUACCGGAUAAUAUAUUGAACCGCAUGGUUCAAUAGUGAAAGACGGUUUUGCUGUCACUUAUAGAUGGAUCCGCGCCGCAUUAGCUAGUUGGUAAGGUAACGGCUUACCAAGGCAACGAUGCGUAGCCGACAUGAGAGGGUGAUCGGCCACACUGGAACUGAGACACGGUCCAGACUCCUACGGGAGGCAGCAGUAGGGAAUCUUCCGCAAUGGGCGAAAGCCUGACGGAGCAACGCCGCGUGAGUGAUGAAGGUCUUCGGAUCGUAAACCUCUGUUAUUAGGGAAGAACAAAUGUGUAAGUAACUAUGCACGUCUUGACGGUACCUAAUCAGAAAGCCACGGCUAACUACGUG
rnacentral:rRNA from 1 species